UACGUAGGGGGCAAGCGUUGUCCGGAUUUAUUGGGCGUAAAGAGCGUGUAGGCGGUCAGGCAGGUCUGCUGUGAAAACUCGAGGCUUAACCUCGAGCUGGCGGCGGAAACCAUCUGGCUAGAGUCCGGAAGAGGAGAAUGGAAUUCCCGGUGUAGCGGUGAAAUGCGCAGAUAUCGGGAAGAACACCCGUGGCGAAGGCGGUUCUCUGGGACGGUACUGACGCUGAGACGCGAAAGCGUGGGGAGCGAACAGG
rnacentral:rRNA from 1 species